rnacentral:lncRNA from 1 species
GUUUUGUUUUUUUCCUUAACUGACUUUCCAAUACUCUUAGGCCCCGUUUGGUUGCCAAGAUAGUGUGUGUCAGUCACUAUGCAUAUAAUGUUAUAUUAUGCAACCAGGGAUCGGAAGCAAAUACUAGGUUCGAUCAACUUUACUUAUAAGAUAGAAAGAAACGUAUGGACAUGCGCUCGUUAUAAUACGAAUAUCUGCGGAACAAGAGCGAGUUGUGAACCACAAGUUAUGGAUUGGCCUUGGAGCAAUAUGUUGAUUAAUUUCGAACAAUUUUUGUCUCAUAGAUGAGAUUCUGUUGGCAUCUCAUUUAUAUACGUAUAUUUGUUUAAUUUGUUGAAUUUAAUAUGGA